rnacentral:lncRNA from 9 species
CCCUAGGAGCUUCUGGAGGACAGAGACCUCUGUUUUUCACCUUUGAAUCCUCAAAACCAGUGCCCAGCGUAUGGAAGGCAAUGGUGAACGAACGAGAAGCUAGGAAUAGCUGGUUGGAUAAAUGAACGGGUAGGGGAGUGGCUCACACAUGCACCCACAGACACACAAAUACACAAACAGCCAGGCACACAGACACCUUGUGUUCCUCUGACGCUCAUCCUCGGUCCAGCCCUCGCCGUGCUGUCAAACAGGUUCCUCGGAGAGGCUGCCUUCCGCUGUGCACAGUUCCAGCACACCCUCUCCCGGGUGUUGUAUUUAAUGCCAGCCCCGUACACUCCGAGUGGGGUCCGAGAUUCCAGCCCCAUCUCUGGGGACGGUCUUCAUCCUUCCAGCCUCUUCUCUUUGGUGGGGUUUCAGCACUUCCUCCCCUCCAAGAGAAAGGCAGCAGAGAUGUACUUUCUUGCCAUGUUUACUUGAUGUCUUAACCUCAUAUCUAUUUGUCAUUUUUAUUGUAUGUUUUCCUCUCUCUGUAUUCAUUUUGGAUGAGGCCUUGUCCUUAGCCCUUGCUUUCAGAAAAGAGAACGCGAUGCCUCCUGGAGCUAGGAAUUUAUGUCACUGGUUCCUGCUGCACCCAGCUACAUGGGAAAUAGAACAUCUGCACGGCCAUCAGAGUCUGCAGGAACUUAAAACUCUACGCUAUGCCCUUGCUCCUGAAUCUAAGAACAAUACCUGAAGAUCCUCUUAAGAACUUGAUAUACACAAAGUUGAAUUCAUCAUCUUUUUGUCUCCAAAUUUACUCUCUCCCCUAAAUUCCUGUUAUUCAAAGGAUCAAGAAAGAAAGUGAGAAUUCCUUUUUAAAGCUGUACACCAUGGGCUAGAAAACCAAGAUGUUUCAUCUCUGUUUGCUGCAAUGAUGGUAGAGGGGCAAGGAUUUUCUGGCCAUUUCACACACCUGGAAACAGAGGUGUGCAGAGGAUGGAUGAAGAGGUGACGGUAUGAGGCCUGCAGGCCUGAUUCCCCAUUUGGGGUUCUUUCCAUUUGGUCGCCCACUGAGAACGGAGUGUGGUUUGGAAAUGGAAGCGGAGAAUUAUCUGG